rnacentral:rRNA from 1 species
GAAUACAAGGGUUUGAUCUUGGCUCCAUGCGAACGCAGUCCUCACGGUCCGACACAUGCUCAUCCAUCUUAGGAUUUUUAAUUCUAGACGGGUAAAAGGGUGAAGGGCUUAAAUCGUUGUAAAGCUCACAAUAAGAUCUGUUGAGCAGAUCUUAUAGAUGUCAUGAUAAAGCUUUCGAUGGCUUGAGUUUCCAUAAGAUAGACGGAGAGGUGACGGCUCAUACCGUGUCCAUGAAGGGGAACAUAUAGUCUUAAGACUAGUCACAGCGGUAGAUCAAAAACCGCCCUGAAUUCAGGCAGCAGUGGAGAAACUUAGGCAAUGGGAUACAUCUUGACCUAGCCGGGAGGAGGCGGAAGCCGCUACUUAUUUUCUAGGAUGAAGGUUUAGGUAGUCAAGUCUGUCCAAGAGACGUGCCAGAAGGCUCGGUAAAACGUACGGACUCAGCGUUGCAUACAUUAAAUAGGCAUCUAGACAAGACGGC